rnacentral:snRNA from 1 species
AGCUUUACACAGUGGCAGUAUCAUAGCCAAUGAAGUUUAUCUGAGGCACGAUUAUUGCUAACUGGAAAAAACUUUCUAGACUCUGCCUGAGCACCUCUCAUGUUCACCAAACCAUCUGAAGGGAGGGGUAUUUUGACCAUCCUUGUUUUCCAGAUGAGCAAAUGG